CGAGCCACCUCCCACCCGUGUUUACUGUACCUUAGUUGCUUCGGCGGGCCCGCCAUUCAUGGCCGCCGGGGGCUCUCAGCCCCGGGCCCGCGCCCGCCGGAGACACCACGAACUCUGUCUGAUCUAGUGAAGUCUGAGUUGAUUGUAUCGCAAUCAGUUAAAACUUUCAACAAUGGAUCUCUUGGUUCCGGCAUCGAUGAAGAACGCAGCGAAAUGCGAUAACUAGUGUGAAUUGCAGAAUUCCGUGAAUCAUCGAGUCUUUGAACGCACAUUGCGCCCCCUGGUAUUCCGGGGGGCAUGCCUGUCCGAGCGUCAUUGCUGCCCAUCAAGCACGGCUUGUGUGUUGGGUCGUCGUCCCCUCUCCGGGGGGGACGGGCCCCAAAGGCAGCGGCGGCACCGCGUCCGAUCCUCGAGCGUAUGGGGCUUUGUCACCCGCUCUGUAGGCCCGGCCGGCGCUUGCCGAACGCAAAUCAAUCUUUUUCCAGGUUGACCUCGGAUCAGGUAGGGAUACCCGCUGAACUUAAGCAUAUCAAUAAGCGGA
rnacentral:rRNA from 1 species